rnacentral:rRNA from 1 species
GUUUGUUUGGUUCUGGCAAUAUAAAUUUUUUAAGCUUAUAAUUCUAUAAAUUUUGGUUUUUAAAAUUCUUAUUAAUUCUAAGGGUUUUUUAGGUAUGCUUAUUGUAUAAUAACUUAUUAUUUUUUUUUUCUGGUUUGCUUAAUUUGGGUGGCUAACUAGAGUGCCAGCAGCUGCGGUUAUUCUUUGUAUUACCUCUUAAUUUAUUUUUUUGGUUUAAAAUUUUGGUGAAACAAUUAUUUUAUUUUGCGUUUAAUUGUAAGUAUUCUUAGUUUUAUUUUUAUUAAAACACCUCUUAAGACUCAUUUAAUAUGAUUAUUAGGUUGUUUAUUUUUUCCCCUCGUUAAAUGAAAGAACUUGGCAGUUAGUCUGUAUUCCUGGGGAUUAUGAGCUUUGAAAAAGAUUUUACACUUAAUAACUAAUUAAAAGUAUAUAUAAUAUUACCAUAUUAUAUUAUGUUAGUGUACGGUUGAACAAAAGACGGGUUAGAGAUAAUUAACUUGUUUUAAUUCAAAUCAUUGUGCUGCAAUUACUUUAGAUUUUGCUUUUAAUACAUUUUUUAUUUUUAAUUUGAAAAAGUUAAUAGAUUAGGACUAGGUAGUAAACUUUUGUUAAUAGGCUUAGUUGAAUUUAUGAACGGAUUUAGGUACACACUGCCCGUCAAUCUCUUGGGAGAUAAGUCGUAACAUGGUAAGUGUAUCUGAAGUUGCACUUGUAAAUAUGGCAGAUUAAUGUGUUAAAUUUAGAAUUUAAUUAUAGAAUUUUAUUCUUAUUUAUU